AGCUCCAAUAGCGUAUAUUAAAGUUGUUGCAGUUAAAAAGCUCGUAGUUGGAUUUGUGGCUGUCGCCUGCGGCUCGGCAUUCGUGCCGGUGCUUGCUAGCGUCGCCAUCCUUGGGUGGAACCUGUGUGGCAUUAGGUUGUCGUGCAGGGGAUGCCCAUCGUUUACUGUGAAAAAAUUAGAGUGUUCAAAGCAGGCUUAUGCCGUUGAAUAUAUUAGCAUGGAAUAAUAAGAUAGGACCUUGGUACUAUUUUGUUGGUUUGCGCACCAAGGUAAUGAUUAAUAGGGACAGUUGGGGGUAUUCGUAUUCCAUUGUCAGAGGUGAAAUUCUUGGAUUUUUGGAAGACGAACUACUGCGAAAGCAUUUACCAAGGAUGUUUUCAUUAAUCAAGAACGAAAGUAG
rnacentral:rRNA from 1 species